UUUUGCUCCCAUCUGUUUCUGGAACGCUUCCGUCAGCCCCAAGGUUUCCUUUGCUGCUCUUGUUCAGCUCAGUGCCUUCCCGUGAAGUCUCUGUUCCCUCUUUCAUGGUUCUCGUUGCGGAAUCUCCACCCUGGGACUCCAAACUGGACAGACGGAAGGCUUUCUGGGGCUGCUCUGGUUAGUGCUUUAAGCUCUGUGCAAUCUGUGGAGCAGACAGUGGAACACCAUGAAGCCCUCGUUCGUGCGUCGCUGGUAUGCAGCCCAAUAAGCUCCGUGGCUGGCGAUAGAGUGAGGUGCGUGUAUCUGGCUGAGAGCUGAGCUUAAGAAA